UGGCUCUGAUCUCCACUCCACACAGCCGCACAUUUCAGCACUGACGCGCUCUCAGGCUGAACAAGCAGACCACACAGACCCGAAAUGACAAAACCAUGUGUGGGCUGAAGUGCACUUCCUAGUGAGUAGGCUGAAAGAUGGCUUCCUUUGACUUAUGGAAUCAAAGUGACAGGGUUGUUUACUCUACAUUCCACUAACAGUUAAAGCCCGGCUCUAAAUACGUCCGAGGAAGAAGCCCCUCUACUUCCGCCUGUGACGUAAAGACACUCUGUCAAAAUCUUGUAAUUUUAGCGAAGCAUUGCGCGGGUCUCUGUACACAUUUAAUAAGUAAAUAUAGGAAGGUCAACUUGUGGGGGUGUACGAGCCAAUAUUUGACUUCUGUUUCAUAGUUGUUGUACAUUUAUCUUGGCACGGUUAUUAACUUCGGAAUGUUGGGAAAGAUUAGACGACUUACUUUCCACUUUUGGUGCUGAUGGAAAUAGUUUAUCCAAAAAUCAACACAAUGUCCCUCUUACUUAAUACAUUCAAUAUGCCAAGUUGUGUUUUUUUUUUUUUUUUUUUGGUCUGAAGUUUAGUAGUGGAGCUGUGAGGUUUUGUAUUAGAGCUGUGAAUCAUAAACAGUUUCAUUUCAAAUUUUAGCACCUCCAGGGUUGGCGGGUUCGACUCCCACCUCCACGCUCUGUGCGCCGAGUUUGCAUGUUCUCCCCAUGCUUUAUGGGUAUCCUCCUCCACUCCAAAGACAAUUUGUCCGUAGUGUAUGAAUGUGUGCGAUUGUGUCCUGCAAUGGGUUUGCACCCCGUCCAGGGUGUCCCUCACCUUGUGCCCCGAGUCCCCUGGGAUAGGCUACCCACGACCCUGUGUAGGAUACGCGGUACAGAAAAUGGAUGGAUGGACUGUAGGCUACAUCUACUAGCUGAGCCAUGUGCUGCAGAAAGCAUUGUUAAAAAUGGCCGGUAUGAAAGUUUUUAGCUCUGAUAUGUUGUUUUGUCCAUUUUGUCAAUAGAAGAUAGUGUGUCAUACAGUGUCUGUUUGCGAUAAGUAACAGCAGAUGUCGGUUUGAUGAGUUAGGUACAUUAUGCUGCUAAACUGACUCAGUGCUAAAGUGGAGGCUACAUGCUUUUCUGCUCACCACGGUUGUAAAGAGCACUUUUAGAACAGCAGGAGAACAGCAUUUUCUGAAUUAGUCAAACCAGCCUGUCGGACACUGAGAUGACAUGUUUUCCUCAUUCCGAUGUUGGAUGUGAGCAUCAGCUGAAGCUCUUGACCUGGAUCUGCAUGAUGUUAUGUAUCGCACUGCUGCCACAUGAUUGACUAUAUUAUUGUCUGCAUGAGUUUGGAUACAUGUGUUCCAAAAACAUGGGUGGGCUCAUUCAUUGGCCUCAUUCAUUCAUCUUCAAUAAGCGCUUUAACCUUGGUUGAGGUGGAUCCAGAGCCUAUCCCAGGAACACCGAGGAUGAGAUGGGAAUACACCCUGGAUGGGUUGCCAGUUCAUCUUCCAGGGAAAAACUAAAGUAGCAAACCUCGGAAAGCAAACAUCACUAGCUGAUUGACUACACUUGGGCAAAGGGGAAAAUUGUGUAAUGACAUUUUUGGUUGAAUUACUCUUAUAAGAUGGGGAAACAAAUUUAAAAAAAUAUUCAGUGACUGGAAAUCAGGAAGUUCUUGACGAAAUUCCAGUGUCUGUGAAGACUCACCAGUUCAUAAUAUCGUUACAAAUGCUUUCAGUAACUUUUGAAAAUCUUUUGUCAUCUUUCCUUCCUUCCUGUCAGCGUGGGCUGUCAGCCUCCACCAGUUUGGUAAAUGAUGCUGUUAUCUGUCGUAAAGGCUAUUCGUGUAUGAACCACAAGAGUCCUCCUAACACUGUUGACAAAAGGGAUCUGUUUACACGCUCUCAUUCACAUUCCCUUACACUCCUCCACACUCACAAUAAGGAUUCCAUUGUGUCUCUCAGGCAAAAUUAUACAGUUAUACUGUUCCACACAAAACCAUUAAGUACUCAUAAUCCUCCAAAACACUAACUUAUUCAGAGAAACAGUGUAUUUUUGGCACGUAUUCCAAUGUAUUGUGAGUUGACAGGACUGGGUUAUGAGAAGCAUGGUGUCAUGCCGUGUGUGAUGGCGAUAUCUCAUCAUUUGUGGUUUGGACGACUUCUCAAUACUCUGUAAUGUCAUAGCUUUUACCCAAUACAUUAAUGUAUUAAUACAAUAAAAGUUAUGAAACUGCAUUUUUUUUUUGCAGUGCCUUCAUUUUACUUUAAGUCUGUACUGCUGUGUAUAUAUAUAUGUUAGAUGUAGAUAUAUUCUCCAUGCUACAAUUUAGCCAGUGCUAUAAGUU
ensembl:lncRNA